UUCCUACUUUUUAACCACAUAUUUUCCUAAAAUCAAUAUUCAAAUUUCUUUUUCAAAUAAUGGUCAUUAGACAGAGCUAAAAAUCUCAUUUUCAUCCCCACCAAAAGGAGCAUAUUGUUAAAAAUUUGUGGAUUUAAUGAAAUAUACAAUUCCCUUUUCCCAAAAGUCACUACCAUCAUCACCCAAGCGAUUUCAUAUUUGAUUUUGAGGUUUUGUUAUUGUUGUGGUGUAAGUGGUGGUUCUAGUGAAUGAAAAUAGUGAUGAUGGUGAGGAAAAACAAUGGUGGAGGUGGAGGUGGAGGUGGAGGUGGCAUGAAUGUUCACUGCACAGUUUGUUUGGAUGGUUGGAUGAAUGGUGGAAAAGAAAGAGUUAUUUAUACUAUUUCCUUUUAUGGUUGGAUGAUCUCAAUUUGGGAAACACAAGUAAAAAAAGUUUAUAUCAAAAAGAAAAUAAUUUGUGUCAAUGCUCACAGACAACAAUAUUAUAUGGCGGCCAUAUAGUAGAUUAUAUGACUAUUUUUCUAUAUCUCGAUAGACGUUACAUCGUCAUUCAUGAUAUUGAUAUGAUUUGAGAAAUUCGCAUAUCAUAGGCUUGACUUGUGCACACUCACGUUGAAAACCUGCAAGCUAAUGAUUUAAUUUUGCUUGAACCAUCUUUGAAGAUUGUUAAACAAGAAGUGCAAUGCCUUGCUAAAGUUUGAUAUGCUGCAAGGCAUGCAAAUUUUGUGAAGAUAUGGGAGGGGAGGAGAUUAAAUUGGGUUGUGAACAGAAAAUGUUGUGGAUAAAAAUCAAGGGGCUGUAACUUCUAAUAAAGAUCAAACCCCAACAAUGCCAAUAGGAGUUGAAAUUGAUAGAGGGGAUGACUUUCAUAGCCCGUGCUUUGGUAGUCAUAGUAGAGGAGCCUACAUCAUCAACCAAAGGUUGAAUAGUUUUGGGAACGAACUUGGACCUUUUAUUGAUAAUUCAUAUCUUGAGACUCGUUGGCCAUCUUCUGUUCCAAACAUGUGGAAAAUAAGUAGAUGUUACAUAGCUAAAGCAAGAGCAAAACUCUGAAAGAUAGACAAUUGUAAUGUAGAGGUAUGAUGAACUUGAAUAUAAAUGCAUAUGUAGUGCAACAACUAUCGUUGUCUCAAGCUAUCGGAGUCUUAUAAGUUAGCUUUAAAAGAAUGAGGUCUUAUAGUUGUGCU
rnacentral:lncRNA from 1 species